rnacentral:rRNA from 1 species
AAACUUUCAACAACGGAUCUCUUGGCUCUGGCAUCGAUGAAGAACGCAGCGAAAUGCGAUAAGUAAUGUGAAUUGCAGAACUCAGUGAAUCAUCGAAUCUUUGAACGCACAUUGCGCCCCCUGGUAUUCCGGGGGGCAUGCCUGUUCGAGCGUCAUUA